GAUGAACGCUAGCGGCAGGCCUAAUACAUGCAAGUCGAGCGGCAAGUCGAGGAGUAAUCUGAGACCUAGAGCGGCGUACGGGUGCGUAACGCGUAUGCAACCUACCUCAUACAGGGGGAUAGCCCGGAGAAACCUGGAUUAAUACCCCAUAGCACAGCACAAGGGCAUCUGCGAGCUGUUAAAGAUUCAUCGGUAUGAGAUGGGCAUGCGUCUGAUUAGCUAGUUGGCGGUGUAACGGACCACCAAGGCGACGAUCAGUAGGGGUUCUGAGAGGAAGGUCCCCCACACUGGCACUGAGAUACGGGCCAGACUCCUACGGGAGGCAGCAGUAGGGAAUAUUGGGCAAUGGACGAGAGUCUGACCCAGCCAUGCCGCGUGCAGGAAGAAGGCCUUCUGGGUUGUAAACUGCUUUUAUCUGGGAAGAAAAGGCCCAUGCGUGGGACAUUGCCGGUACCAGAUGAAUAAGCACCGGCUAACUCCGUGCCAGCAGCCGCCGUAACAC
rnacentral:rRNA from 1 species